UAGUCCACGCCGUAAACGAUGUCUACUAGCCGUUGGGGUACUUGAGACCUUAGUGGCGCAGCUAACGCACUAAGUAGACCGCCUGGGGAGUACGGCCGCAAGGUUAAAACUCAAAUGAGUUGACGGGGCCCGCACAAGCGGUGGAGCAUGUGGUUUAAUUCGAUGCAACGCGAAGAACCUUACCAGGUCUUGACAUCCUGCGAAGUUACCAGAGAUGGUUUCGUGCCUUCGGGAACGCAGUGACAGGUGCUGCAUGGCUGUCGUCAGCUCGUGUCGUGAGAUGUUGGGUUAAGUCCCGUAACGAGCGCAACCCUUGUCCUUAGUUGCCAGCACUUUUUAGGUGGGAACUCUAGGGAGACUGCCGGUGACAAACCGGNGGAAGGUGGGGACGACGUCAAGUCAUCAUGGCCCUUACGACCUGGGGCUACACACGUGCUACAAUGGGAACGCACAGAGGGCAGCGAAGGCGCGAGCUGGAGCGAAUCCC
rnacentral:rRNA from 1 species